rnacentral:rRNA from 1 species
AUUGAACGCUGGCGGCAGGCUUAACACAUGCAAGUCGAGCGGAGACUUCGGUCUUAGCGGCGAACGGGUGAGUAAUACCUAGGAAUCUGCCUAUUAGUGGGGGAUAACGAAUCGAAAGGUUCGCUAAUACCGCAUACGUCCUACGGGAGAAAGGGGGGUUCGUUCGGACCUCUCGCUAAUAGAUGAGCCUAGGCCGGAUUAGCUAGUUGGUAGGGUAAAGGCCUACCAAGGCGACGAUCUGUAGCUGGUCUGAGAGGAUGGCCAGCCACACUGGAACUGAGACACGGUCCAGACUCCUACGGGAGGCAGCAGUGGGGAAUAUUGGACAAUGGGGGCAACCCUGAUCCAGCCAUGCCGCGUGUGUGAAGAAGGCCUCGGUUGUAA